rnacentral:snRNA from 1 species
GUUUAGGGCGUUCGACAUCCGAUAAAACUGGAAUGAUACAGAGAAGAUUAGCAUGGCCCCUGCGCAAGGAUGACACGUAUAAAUCGAGAAAUGAUCCUUAAACCU